rnacentral:lncRNA from 1 species
UCACCUGAAGUCUAGGUGCUGCGACCACAUCAGAGAAGGGGUGGGAUUAGAGUCGUUAGGGUUUUGGGCUGCCGGCGGCGGCACCAAAAAUGAAUUCGAUAGCACUGAUGCUCACCUGAAGUCUAGGUGCUGCGACCACAUCAGAGAAGGGGUGGGAUUAGAGUCGUUAGGGUUUGGGCUGCCGGUGGCGGCGGCGGAAUUGGAGGCGAUGGCUUUCGGAGGGAAGCCUAGGUGACCAAGGAAUCUCAACGAGCUCGCCGCAUCCAUCUCUCUAGGCGGGGUCCAAGCGAGAAGAGAAGGGAGGGGGAUCGAGCUCUGAGGGGGCGUCCACGAGCGCAUCAAAAUCGGAAGUGUCCCUAUUAUUUGCCGCUCCAUCACUUGAUUUGUUUUCCCGAUUCUGUCAUUUUGACGUGCUACUUCAUGCUCAACGGGUUUCUUCCCAUGUUCCUCGAAGAUUUUUUGGGUGCGCCCAACAUUUUUCCUGGGAGCUGCAGGCAUGGAAUAUGUCAAGCCGUGUAGUUUUGGGAGCAGCAGCAAAAUCCGGGUUGAGGUGAGAUUCAUUUUUCUCCCUUGCUCCAUGUUGUGUCUUUUUUUGUGCUACUUCCUGAAAAAUUUGGAGUAGCAGACCUUAAUAGUGGCUCAGUAACAUUCGCGUAAGCAGCUAGUAGCCUAGAUGAAAUUCAUUUGCGUUGAGGUGAGAAAUUAAUACUGUUUUGGCAUGUCGACUGAUGGAAAAAUACACACCUUGUUUCAGAACUUAGGAUACUAUUCAGAAGAUGCCAUUCGUGUUGUGUUGAGGUCUAACCAAAAGAAAUCUUAGCAUCCUUCAGUCUUGUUUUGUAUUUAGGAACUCGUCUAGCUUUCUGGCAUGUAAAUGGCAUGAUUUUUUAUGAUAAGGUUGCGCUAAAUAAAGGGGAUGUUUGGAUUCCCAGGCUAAAUUUUAGCUCCUGUCACAUCAAAUGUUUGGACACUAAUUAGGAGUAUUAAACAUAGGCUAAUUACAAAACCAAUUUCACAACCCCUAGGCUAAAUCGCGAGACGAAUCUAUUAAGCCUAAUUAGUCCAUGAUUUGACAAUAUGGUGCUACAGUAAACACUUCGCUAAUGAUGGAUUAAUUAGGCUUAAUAGAUUCGUCUCGCGAUUUAGCCUAGGGGUUCUGCAAUUAGUUUUGUAAUUAGCUCAUGUUUAGUCCUCCUAAUUAGCAUCCGAAUAUCCGAUAUGACACGGACUAAACUUUAGCUCCAGGAUCCAAACACCCCCAAAAUUGUAAAGGGCAAUUUUGCUAUGGAUGCAGCAUCCUACUUUUUUUUUCUUAGGUUCAUCGGGCCCAACAAAGUGAUGUGGCCUCUUACUAGUGACUUAGGAAAUAGACCACUAUAAUCUCAAUCCUACAAUUCCUAACACUUCAUCGAGCAUAUCAAAGUUUUCCUAUUCUUGAAUAUUAAGUUAUAGGCGUAUAGAAAGUUUUUGAUAUGCGACCACAAAGUAUCAGUCCUGAGCAUAUAAAGUUUUCAAAAUUGCUAGUAUAAAGUGCUAGUAUUUUUGGAGUGCAAAGUUUGAGAACUGUGAUACCAAAGUUUGUAAUAUGCUUGUACAAAUUUUCUAGAAUCAAAGUGCAAAGUUUCUUAAUUACAAUGUUUUUAUUUCCAUGAGUAGAUAUAGUUUUUUUUAGUUCAAAGCUUAUAGCUAAGCAUAAGAAAAUCAUGUAUGUGUCAGUACAAAGUUCUUUUGCCCCAUACGAAAUGCUGCAUACAAAUAAUGCUGGUUGUGAAUAUGCAUAUUCAAAAGUAUACAAUAGUUUUUCAUAUUCUAUUAUAAAAUGUCAUGUACAGAAAUUAAAAGUUAAGGACAUAUAUUUUUUAAUCAUGCAGUUCAAAGUGUUUUAUGUAUUACUCAAAAGCUGACGAGCAUAGGAAGCCCCUAAUCAUAUUGAAUGAAGUUUCCAAAACUACAAUGCAAAGUUUCUAGAUAUGUGAGUCCAAAGUUAACCGUCGUGAAUGUUGCAAUGUUAAUAUUCUUACUUUUAUGAUGUAUAUAAAGUUUUGGAGUUGGUAGUACAAAGUUUAUAAUGCUAUAGUUCAAAGUCCUAUAUUUCAAGUGAUAAUUUUUUUAAUCAUAAUGAGUCUCGAUCUGGUGUACAAAGUUUCGAGGUGUGUUGGUCUGAUACAAAGCUUUUUGAAUUGUUACUGAAAUGCAAAGUUUUUUCAUGUUAGAAAUGCAUUCAAUACUUUUAUGAGUUAUACAUGAGUGGAUUUCUUUUUUACUAGAUAGCACAUAUACCAUGCACAGUUGUGCUCAUGGUGAUAUUGCUUACGACUCCAAAAUAACUUUGCUAGAUGUGUAUAGUUAAUCACCUUCCCUAUAUAUUUCACUUACCAUCUUAUUUUAAAUUGUUGAUUCUUUCAGGCCCAAGAGCUGACCCUGCAUUUUUCAUUUUGGGUAUACCCCAUUGGCCCUUGCCUUGAUACUCAAGAAGUUUUUGUCUUCCUAGAGUUUGGAUCAGACCGUAUAUAGAUGGUCUAAGUUCAUGCUGUUUGGUACGUGCCUUUCUUCAAAUAGCCAUGUCUUUUUUUUGUUGGUAAUUUAUGGACUUUUGUAGUUUGUUUGCAUUGGACAAUUUAUUUACUCUACAUGGAAUCAGAUUAAGCUUAUGUUAUUUAGUUAUGUACUUCUCAAAUAGCUAUAAAGUUAUGCACAAAGUUUUCAAAUUUCGCUUGAAAGAGGGAUAUGGAGGAAUAUAUGAUUUAAAAAAAAUAAUUCUAAAUACAAAGAUUUCUAUAUACGAUUUCAAAGUUGGUGAGUUUAGAAAGUGUUGAAUAUUUUGAUUUGAAACCUUUUGAAUUUCAAGUAAUUUAAUGUUCUUGCCAUGGUGUAUGCAAUAGACCUUUGUCCGGUAAUCUGUGCAUUUUUUCUACCUAAAAUUUUGAACAAAAUUACAAAGUUUUGAGUUUAAAUUCUCAAAGUUUAUAUUUGCUUUGUUGAAAGUUCCUAAAUUCAUAGUGAAAUAUAAAGCUUGUAACGUACUAGUAGAAAGUUUCUGAAUUGUAAGUUUAAGGUUUGAAUUAUAAAGUUUUAGACUUGAGCGUAUAAAGUUUGUAAUGUGCUAGUGGCAGGUUUAUAUAGUGUGAAGUUUGAAAUUUAUUUGUAAAAAAACCUUUUGCUAAGUGACUUGAAACUUCAUGAAUUUGGAAUACAAAGUUUCUAAGUUUCAUAUCUUGGAGUAUGAAGUUUUAAUGUGCUGGUAGAAAAUUCUAAAAUUUGUUAUACAAAAUUUUGGGAUUGGCAAAUGGCAAUACAAAGCUAUUAUUGUUAUAGUACAAAUUUGGAAUAGCUACAGUUAUUUUAAGUUGAAGUGCAAAGUUUGGAGUUUGUUCAUAAACUAUUUCUUAGUGACCAGAAAGUUAGUACGUUCAAGUAGGAAACUUGUGCAGUUUGUACAUGAUUUAAAGUUUUAAAUAUUUAAGUAGAAAGUUUUUUUUAUCUAUAGAUUAAAAGCUCAUAUGUUUAAAUGUUUGUAUACAAAAUCUAAAGUUUAUAGAGUUCAAGUAGGAAGAGUUCAACUAGCUUCUCAAAAGUUUGGUUGUACAUCAUAUAUUUAUUUGGCAUGCUGCUAUUUCAUUUUUUUUACCCUACACAUAAUAGUUUCUCUAUACAUGAUUUAAAAGUUCUUAAUAUUACAGUUGAAAGAUUUUGACGUGCAGAUGUUGGGCUGGAAUCUGACAUCACGAGACGUUAACAUGAGGACAAACACGUUACAUGCCUGGGGGCUCUAACCCUAGAACACUAAGGUCACUAAAGUUUAGUCCUACCUUUUUAAGUCUCCCUAAACUUCCAAAUAGAAGGGAUUAAAUGGAGGACUAAGGAAUUAGUCCUCUAGUCCCUUGGGAGUGAUUAAGGCGGUAAUUGGUUUCACGAACUAAAAUUUAGUCCCUAUCAUAUUGAAUAUUUAGAUACUAAUUAGGAGGACUAAAUAUGAGCUAAUUAUAAAACCAAUUGCACAGAUGAGCUAAUUAAUCUAUAAUUUAAUAAUGUGAUGCUACAGUAAAUAUGUGCUAAUCAUGAAUUAGUCUCCCUAAACUUCCAAAUAGAAGGGAUUAAAUGGAGGACUAAGGAAUUAGUCCUCUAGUCCCUUGGGAGUGAUUAAGGCGGUAAUUGGUUUCACGAACUAAAAUUUAGUCCCUAUCAUAUUGAAUGUUUAGAUACUAAUUAGGAGGACUAAAUAUGAGCUAAUUAUAAAACCAAUUGCAUCGAUGAGCUAAUUAAUCUAUGAUUUAAUAAUGUGAUGCUACUAAUAAAUAUGUGCUAAUCAUGAAUUAGUCUCCCUAAACUUCCAAACAGAGGGAUUAAAUGGAGGACUAAAGUAAAGGAAUUAGUCCUCUAGUCCAUUGGGGGUGAUUAAGGCAGUAAUUGGUUCCACGAACUAAAAUUUAGUCACUGUCAUAUCGAAUGUUUAGAUACUAAUUAGGAUGACUAAAUAUGAGCUAAUUAUAAAUCAAUUGCACAGAUGAGCUAAUUAAUCCAUGAUAUAAUAAUGUGAUGCUACAGUAAAUAUGUGCUAAUCAUGAAUUAAUUAGGCUUAAUAUAUUCGUCUCGCAAAUUAGCCUCCAUCUGUGCAAUUGGUUUUGUAAUUAGUUUAUGUUUAAUACUCUAAUUAGUAUCUAAACAUUCGAUGUGACAGGGACUAAACUUUAGUCCGUGGAACCAAACACCCCCUAAAGGGACUAAAGGUCUAGGAGGAUACCCCUGCCUCUCAUUAUUGUCCUAUUUCCCAUUAUUGUUCUCUAGUCCCAGAGCAUUGAUUAGGGAUAUUUUGAUCUUUGUUCAUCUGUUUUAAUGACCUUUAGUCCCUGAACUAUAAACUUUAGGCCUUGUUUAGUUAUCCCAAAAUCUCAACUUUGGCACUAUGCAAAAGAAGAUUCUCCAUCACAUCAAACUUACGGUACAUGCAUGGAGUACUGAAUGUAGACGAAAUAAAAAACUAAUUGCACAGUUUGGUUGUAUUUUGCGAGACGAAUCUUUUGAGCCUAAUUAGUCAAUAUUUGGAUAAUAAUUCACAAAUACAAACGAAACACUACAAUAUGCUACAGUGCUGGUACAGUGAUUUUGGUUGUCCAAAAUCGGGCAACUAAACAGGGCCUUAGUCCAAGGACUAAAAGGUCCCUGAACUAUAAACUUUAGGGCCUGUUUGGAUACAGGUUCAUAACUUUAGUACCUGCCACAUCGGAUGUUUGAUACUAGUUAGGAGUAUUAAAUAUAGUCUAAUUAUAAAACUAAUUACACAGAUGGAGUCUAAUUCACAAGACGAAUCUAUUAAGCCUAAUUAGUUCAUGAUUUGACAAUGUGGUGCUACAGUAACCAUUUGCGAAUGAUGGAUUAAUUAGGCUUAAUAGAUUCGUCUCGCGAAUUAGUAUAGGGUUUCUGCAGUUAGUUUUAUAAUUAGCUCAUGUUUAAUUCUCCUAAUUAGUAUCCGAACAUCCGAUGUGACCCCUCCUAAAGUUUAGUACCCUGCGUCCAAACACCCCCUUAGUCUAGGGACCGAAGGAACCAAACAGGCACUCACACGAUAACAGGAAAGGAAAAGGCACAUCACGCACGCUGGCGAACAUAGAGUAGCGCGAGGAACAACACACACACCCAGAGCGCCAAUACAGAACGAGCCCCGAGCAAGGGGAACCCAUCACACACACCGUCAGGCACGGCUCAGCAGCCGAAUAGACUUCCGGGACGAUUGCAGCUCUUUCAUUAGCUUGCUUUAGUAGCUGAGAACAUUAUAUAGAAUCCAUUCCUGACAAAUUCGAAAUCAACCAGGCCACAUGCUCUGCAGAGAUCUUCAAGCUCCGCUUCGGAUAAGAAGAUAUUCAUGCCAGUGAUUCGGCUUAUGUACUGCAAGAUAAUUCCAAGAGAAAGUUUGACCUCCCAUGCGCUGACUUGGAGGUGUCAAAACACUAAAGAAUCACUUGACGUUUGAUGUUAGUUGAUAUCUUGUUGUCGCGUGAAAACCAUUACGUGUGGAUGAUUAGCAGUAGGACAUUACCGGGCGUCCGAUCCUCAAUAUCGGAAUGGCUAGUGGAAUAUCUUCUACGAAAGUAGAAGCAACAAGAACUCCCCCUGGACGAAGUACUCUACUAAUUUCUGCAACCUGUGGAAACAUCAUCAAUAUAAUAAGAACUUGCACCAAUCGUCACCAGGUACGGGGGAGAGAAAUUGGGUAAAGAGGAUGCCAAUUAAUCCUAUGGCAGCAUGUAGUUUUCCUACAUCUAUUUCGUAUGGAUGUAGGCAAACUAGCAUGCUGCCAUAACUUUGAGUGCACGGAAGAAUGUGGAGUUGUUAUGGCAUCAUGGUCAAGUCCAGGGCCACCAGUUUGGCAGUAGGUAGCAGCAUCAACCAGCCGCAACAUUAUCCUACGUUGGUCUAGAAUUGGUUUGUACCAUGAUAUAUAUUAGGAGGAUAAGACCAGUUAGUUCAGGUUGUUAAUUUGUUAAUUCAAUCUGUCAGCAUCUCGCGUUAGGGGUUAGUUUGUUAAUUCAAUAUGUUUUUUUUUUACGAAACGUUAAUUCAAUAUGUUAGCAUCUCGUGUUUAGGGGUUGGCUACAAAGGCAUAGCCGCAUCACCAGUUAGAGGGCAAGAAUUAAGAUCUAAACUACUCACCGCCUCCUAGGGAGGACGAGUUAGAUAACUCUUAAAUUUUGCUAAAUUAUCUUCCACAACAGGAGCACUCAUUUAUGAUGGUUAAUACAGAACAUACAUGAUGAUGCAAUUAAGAAACACGUAAACCAAUGAGAAUUUUUUGUUUGUGAUAUGCGAUUCAAGUAUCGAUCUUACAGCACAAGAUGGGGAUGGCCAACAAUGAAUUGCAGCACCUGCAUGCACGGCAUCAAUUGAGCCAUUCACAAAAGGGAGCCUGGAUAUGUCAGCCCUCACCAAUGCUAAUCUCCUGAAACAGAAGCAGAGGAAAAUUAGAGUUUGCAUUUGACAUUAUAAUAAACUAAUAACCACGGACACGCAAUUAGAUGGCAUGAAUACUGACAUAGUGACAUGACGGAAUAAAUGGUUACUGUGAAUAAAACAUGACAAAGUUACAGAAAGAAAACUAAUGAUCAAAGCCAUACUCAUCUGAAAUGUUUUCGUGCUCGACAUAUUCUUUGCACUGCUUCAACAUAUUCUCUGAGAAAUCUAAUGCCACAACAAGAGAAUAUAAUCCACUCUUAAUAAAUAAUCUUGAAAACAGGCCACUUCCACAACUCGCAUCAACAAUAGUCCCUCCAAUAGUUGGAUUCAAAUAAGUUUUUGCCAUUUCAAACUGCAGGUAUAGCGAUGUUCAGAAAGUCUGCAAAAUUGUAUGCUCAUAAUGCUUAAAUGCACACCUAACCUGCUAAAUAAAUUGAACCUGGAUCAAGCCUGGAUUGUGGGUUUAGGGCCAAGCUAAGAAUGACAUUUUAGAUUCUUAGUUACUAUGGGCAAGGCUGCAUCAUGGCCAACAAUACCCAGCUCACCUGAAAAUGAACAGGCCUGGUGCCUCAGCAUCAGCAGCCCAACAGUUAAAAUGGGCCCAACCUGAAUGCAACAAGGCCUUUUUUUUCCUAGCAUGGCAAUUCCCAGAAAAUGCUCAGGUUUAAGUAAAAUACGGUGAUCAUAUUUUUUAAUGACUUGUUGCAGCUUACCACCAGACAAGUACUGAUUGACAUAGCUCGAGUACCAUAUUUUCCUCAUUGGGAAAGAAAGGUAAGCUACUAAUCAAACUACAUAGUGAUGACUGUGAGACUGUUUGACAGAUGGAAUUGAACAUCCUUAUGCAUACAAUGGGCCUGUUCGCUUCAGCUUAUAAGCCGGCUGAAAAGCUGAAACGGCUGAUUUGUUGUGAGAGGAAAACACUGUUUGGUGGCUGAUAAGCCGGCUGAAUAAGCUGAAGCGAACAGGCCGAAUAUAAUUAAGAGUAUGACCUCUCUCGUUCGGCCCGGGAAACCACCCCAUCUGAACGUUUGGCGCCAUCCUCUCUCGUAAAGGAAUGAUACCAGCGAAGUCCUGUUCAAAUAUUCAUCUGUAAGGACGAAGAAAUAAUUUUGGUAGAACUAAUAAUUUACAAAAGCAGAGUUAUAUUCUUGGUCCCCCUGCUCCCAAGCAGAAACAGUUCAGCAGACAUUGAUACUAGUAACAACUUGUGACCUUUUACUGGAUCUAUUUCUGAACCGACAUUUACUCGAUCAUUCCCUAUGUCUCUAUGGGCAACAAAUCUUGUCUGAUGUGACAUUUUUAAGGUUUUAUAAAGACGUGAAGAGUUCUUGCACUAUUGAUUUAGAGGUGCCAUUGGCAUGUUUUCAGCAUUAGUUAGGAGUAAUUAUUAAAAGAAUUGCAAUUCUCAGAGAACUGAAGCAGAGACUGUGAAUCAUGCUCAUCUGAAAAAGAAGACCCAGUGAAUCAUGCCCUUAAUUUGACCCCUUGUUUACUUGGCAAAUUUGGGAGGUGCCAAAUUACUGUUACAGCACUGUAGCACACUGUAGCGUUUCGUUUGUAUUUGUGAAUUAUUAUCCAAAUAUUGACUAAUUAGGCUUAAAAGAUUCGUCUCGCAAAGUACAACAAAACUGUGCAAUUAGUUUUUAAUUUCGUCUACAUUUAGUACUCCAUGCAUGUACCGUAAGUUUGAUGUGAUGAGGAAUCUUCUUUUUGCAUAGUGUCAAAGUUGGGAGUUAGGGGUGAAGUAAACAAGGGGUCACCCCGGAGACACUACAAUUCCCAAGUUGCUGCAGAUCAAAUUUCCUCUGUUAAUUCCUGCAGCCCCUCAUUUCAGCCAAACUCACCAAGCUAACGAAUCCCAGAAGAAACAAUCCUCUUUACCUGAAUAACUCCGUCGCUGCAGGCAUGGACUCCGUGUACUCGGUUGAACCAACUGCUACUGUAAGAUCCCAGUAAUCCUGCUUAUUUGGGUAGACUUUUUUGCAGGUAGAACACUCCAGACUAGAAGCAUCACUAUAAAGGAACAAACAGUCAGACUGGGGAUCAAUUGGUGGUAGCGAGACAAAAUACGAAAAUUCCGCUUACCCUGACUGAUCGCUCGCGCUCACGAAGGGGUAGUAGCAGAUUGGGCACGCCAGCUUGCUCAGCUUCAUCUCCGGCACCGUUUCGACCAAAAGUUCCUGAAAAUGCUACCAUAUUCACUUGCCGCAGAGCGUGGGGUCCGAGUGGGCUCUUUGCCUGCUCGACAGAAUGCCUCAGAGACUCAGAGGGGUGGGGCAGGUCGGGGGCACUCACCGCGACUUCCUCGUCGGGCGCGUCGGCCGUGACGGUGGGUGGGACGCUCGCGCGCGGGGGAGCUGCUGCGGGGGUGGCCGCCUUGGAAGGAGGUUGGGAGAGGUGGUGGAGGGGUGGGCGUCGAGGGAGGAGUCGAAGUGGAAUCCGAACGGCAGGGAGGGAGGAUAUUUAACUUCCGUUCAAAUGUCAGCUCGCGUUUUUCAUAAUGUUCGUAGCUAAUCACGCUCUUUUCGUGGAAACAUUUUGGGCAGUUGGGCUGGCCGGAAGCGGAAAUUAAUCACCGUAAGCCGUACAGGGCCCAUGACCUAUGUCGUACACGAUGAUUAGUUUCCGCGUCCGGCCCCCUGAAUGUUUCCACGCAAAUUGCAUGGCCCAAAAUGUUUCCUACGCAAACGCCGCGCACGCGCAGAUUGAAAGCGACGUCCCUCCAUUCGUGGGCCGGCCCAGGAAAAGAAGACGCUGUUUUAUGUGUAGUGGGUGGAAGGUCUGAAAACAAAUGUGUAGUGGGUGGACUUGGGCCCAUCGCUCUGAGGUAGCCAAUCCUGUAUGGCAUCCUGAGGCACACGGAUCUAAAUUGCAUGGUCCCAUUUAGACACACCUUACGCAUUCCGGGCUAGCCCGUUAGUCAUAUGACUUUCGUUGAUUGAAAUUCGUGCGCGCGCCCUCACCAUCCCAAACCCUAUCACCUCCCCAGCCAACCACCACCGCCACCACCACUUACUCACCCGUGCGUGUUGCCGGCCGGAUCCAUGCUGCGCACGCGCGCGACUCCACCGCUCCCUGCCCGAGGCAUGCUACUUGCGGCUAGGACCGCCGCUGUGUAACACCUCAUGUUUAGACAGCCUAAUGAUGACAAUGAAAAGCUACUGAUGAUUGGUGGAGAAAAAGGAAGGAAAUUGACUCAAAGUCAAAUUCAAGUUGAAUUUAACUAAAAGUUGCAAUUUGAAAAUUUAAAUUCAGAAAAAUUGAGCAAAAAUAUGAAGUUGAGGUUUGAGAAUGUUUAGAACUCAAGGGAAUGAAGUUGGAGACUAAAUCCAGUCUUAAACUCCUCAAGAAUGCAAUUGAAAAAGGGAAUAAACCAAGUUACUGUUCCCCAUCCGAAAAUAGGCCAUUCUGAAAAACAUUACAAGUAUCCAACUUGGAAAUUGAUUUCUGCCUAAUUUUCCAGGUAAGUGGACAAAGGUGUUUAAACAAUAGUGAAGUAUGAUCUUUGGACAUGUUUAGUAGGAUGUUUUUGAUCAGAGAAAGUGAAGGGAUCAAAUUCAAAUUGGAAUUCAAAAUCAGCACUCUGGCAGUUUCGACCUAGUUACUGAAACUGAAUUUUCUCCAAGUCUGAAACAGCAGCAAUUGACCAUGUUUGGAGCAAAAUUCAGAAAAAUAUAAUGCAAAAGGUAUAUUAGUUCAUGUGCAAAAUGGAAUCCCUGUUAGUUGUAGAGCAUGAAUAGUUAAUGGUUGAACUAUUUGGAGCCAGAUUUAGCUACUCAAAUUAAGUCAAAAAGAGGGCAAAUGGCACUGUUACAGUACCUGUCGAACUGAACCAAAUUCAAAACAAUUCAGUUCAGCUUGGACUUAGAGCUUAAAGAUCUCGACCUUAGAGCAAUUAUCUCGGGUGAAAGCCAAUAUAUCAAUUGAAGAGUUUGAGUUUAUCUACAAGUUUGCCUAAAGGACCUUAGGAUCGUAGGAUUUGAAAUCAACCGUUUUAAAGGAUUGAACUUUCGGAGUAAGAGAGGGGGGCGGGGGGAGAGCGAACAGUAGAGCAGAGACGUGUCGCCGCUGGCACUCUUGCCUGUCAUCCAGCUCGGCGCAUAGGGCCACCUCCUCACCCACGCAAGUCUAUAGCUAGGCCACGGUGGCACUCAUGCAAGCGGUGAAAAUUUUGUAUAUUUACUCCUCCCGCCGCCGCUCUCAUCUGUUUACUGUGCUACCAUUUUUACCGCCGCAAGCAGAGCUCCUGCCGCCGGCCAUUUUCCACAGCUUCACCGCCUCUCGCCCCAAUUCCUUUCACCUACAUCCCCACCAACACCUUCCUGACCACCGUGCCUACUCGUUGUCCAACUUCCCCGCCGGUGAGCUCUUAGCUGCCGCCGUUUCCGUCCGCCGCCGCCUAACUCCCUACUCACGGUGAGCUCUUCCUUGCCGCCGCUUUCCCUCCUUGUGGUAAGCCUUGGGUAAGUCCGUAGGUCACUAGGAAGCUGUAGGAGUAGUCAAAGGGCCGUGUGGUGCCAUUGCCGUGCUUGGCCACGGUCGGUCGCCGGUCAAGCCGCCUGCCGCCGUGGAGAGGCCAGCUCCGGCUGUCUCCCAGGGGGCCACCACCACCCACGGGUGCGCUGUGGCUUGGGGAUGCCUCCCCAACCCGGCCCCAUCGCCGGCAGGGCGCCGGCCGUCAAGCCGCGCUGCCCCCUGCCGCGCCCUGUUUUUGGCGCGGGGAAGAAGAUGGUGCUGACGCUAGAGGCCCGCGCGUCAGAAGAAGAGGGGGAAAGAGUAGGAGGGCCGACGGAUGGUUUAGGGAAAAGGAGGUGGGCCGGUGGGGUGGCGAGUCGAAUAGGAAGGGAGGGAGGUGUAGCUGGGCCGGUCCAGCGGUUCCAGCGCAGGAGAAGGUGGGCGGGCGGGUAAGGUAGAGAGGGGGAGUAGGUGGACCAGUGCUGCGGGCCCAGCACGAAUGAGAGAGGGUAGGGAGGAGACGAGUGAGAAAAGUUGGGCCGGGUUAUUUGGAUAAUCUUAGGUUUUCCUUUUAUUAGAUAAUUAGUGUAAAUUCAGGUUUCACCAUUUAAAUUACAAGAAUUUCUAGGAGUGUCCAAAAUUAGUGAAACCAAUUUUGUUAGGAUUGUUUUAUUUUUCUUUAUGCAUUUAAAUUCUUACACCUUAGGAAAAAUAAUAAAAUUUAGGUAUUUAUUUAAUGCAUUUUUAUUAAGGUAUUUAAAUAAAUACUUAACCUUUAUUAAAUGCAUAAAAUAUUGAAUAAUAUUUUCAUAUUCACAAAUUAUUAUUAACCCAUAGGAAUUAGAUUUUGAGAUUAGAAAAUAUUUAUAAUGUUUUCUAAAAAUAAAAGAAAAGGCCUAAGGUAGGAUUAGUAAAGAAAAUAAAAAUGGUGGGUUAAUCUUUUAGGGGUAAAUGUGUGUUGACUUGCAGCUUUAUCAUGAUAAGUUGUGAAGUUACUUGUUGGCUUGCAACUUUAUCAUGAAGGAAAGUUUUAUAGACUUGUAUUUAAAAAGUUGCAUCACUAACCCCUGCAUGCACUAUAUCGUAGACACCGAAGCACAAGAAGUGGAAGUCUUGGAAUUAUCUGAAGGACCUUCGGAGUUUGAGGAGAUCGUUGAAUUGAUCCCCUGUGAAGCCAGUCCGUCGGACAACGCUAACAUUUUUACAGAUCAAGGCAAGCCCCGGUGCAUCUAUACCUAUCUACUUUGGAGUUAUUAUUUCAUGUGUCCAAUUAUUGGUUAUUUUCCAUAUGAAUGCAUUAAGUCUAGGAGUUGAUUGAAACCUAUUCUUGUGCAUGAUCCUACCUUGUUUUAAGGACAUCUUUUCCACUUGUUCAAUAAUUAGUAAUUAACCCAUGUUUGGCAAUGCUUAGAUACUUUAAGUAACUUGGUUACUUAGCUCUAAGGUAAAUUGUUGGAUCAUACAUACUAGUUAAGGAAAGCUAGCUUGGAAUUCUGAAAAGCAGAUAGAAGCUAGAGAUGUUAGUUCUGUCUGCUAGAUUAAUUUGGUUAAGGCCUGAUCAUUGUCUUAACCUUUGAUCAAGUGAAUAUCACCUGGUUACUUACUGGGUAUGAGACCAGUAAAGCCCGGUAGGUUAGUAGACUCUCUGAUCGGGAAUAUUUCGUACCCGUGCUUGGCGUGCUGGAGAAUGGUAGGGGCGUAGCCUGAAACUCACAUGGAGAUCGGGCCAGACGUGGGGUCCCAUGUGGGGGUGCGUCCCUAGGUUCGGGUAGUCUUAUUCCCAAUCUUUGGGUACGCUAAUCGAAAGGUCGUUAUGUACAACCUGGACAGUUGUACAUAGCUGGUGGUCAGGGUGCUCUCCUGCAGGAUGUAAAUUGAUCCGGAUCGCCGCAAUUCUCAGUUAUGAAUGCACUUGAUCACCGUUAAGCAUCGUAGUGUAAUCUAAUGAAUGUAAUGUUUUUCCGAAAUUAAUAUGUUGUAUGACUUAAUUCUUACUGAUUGCAAAAAUAUUUCUUUUUAGCCAUCUAGAUUGGUUAGGUAACAACUCAACUUGAAUUAAAAGAUAAAGUUAUGGUUUCACUUAUAGUAAGCUCUUUUAGCAAAAUGUGAGUCAGCCAGUACAUUAAACAGCUAGCAUUCAGUUUCGGAAAAACUAUUAUACUGGUUAGUCGGGUUAGUCUUGCUAUGUACCCCGUACUCAGGGGAAUCCCUCGUUGCUAUUUCAGAGCCGCAGCAGGAGCCUGCCGAAGGAGAAGCC